UACAGAGGGUGCGAGCGUUAAUCGGAAUUACUGGGCGUAAAGCGCGCGUAGGCGGCUUUGCAAGUCGGGUGUGAAAUCCCCGGGCUCAACCUGGGAACUGCAUCUGUGACUGCAUAGCUAGAGUACGGUAGAGGGGGAUGGAAUUCCGCGUGUAGCAGUGAAAUGCGUAGAUAUGCGGAGGAACACCGAUGGCGAAGGCAAUCCCCUGGACCUGUACUGACGCUCAUGCACGAAAGCGUGGGGAGCAAACAGG
rnacentral:rRNA from 1 species